rnacentral:rRNA from 1 species
GACGUAGGGCGCGAGCGUUGUCCGGAUUUAUUGGGCGUAAAGAGCUCGUAGGCGGCUUGUCGCGUCGACUGUGAAAACUCGGGGCUCAACUCCGAGCUUGCAGUCGAUACGGGCAGGCUAGAGUUCGGUAGGGGAGACUGGAGUUCCUGGUGUAGCGGUGAAAUGCGCAGAUAUCCGGAGGAACACCAGCGGCGAAGGCGGCUUUCUGGUCCGAUACGUGACGCUGAGGUGCGAAAGCGUGGGAGCGAGUCGG